AGCGAACGCUGGCGGCAGGCCUAACACAUGCAAGUCGAACGAACCUUUCGGGGUUAGUGGCGGACGGGUGAGUAACACGUGGGAACGUGCCUUUAGGUUCGGAAUAACUCAGGGAAACUUGUGCUAAUACCGAAUGUGCCCUUCGGGGGAAAGAUUAAUCGCCUUUAGAGCGGCCCGCGUCUGAUUAGCUAGUUGGUUGAGGUAAUGGCUCACCAAGGCGACGAUCAGUAGCUGGUCUGAGAGGAUGAUCAGCCACAUUGGGACUGAGACACGGCCCAAACUCCUACGGGAGGCAGCAGUGGGGAAUCUUGCGCAAUGGGCGAAAGCCUGACGCAGCCAUGCCGCGUGAAUGAUGCAGGUCUUAGGAUUGUAAAAUUCUUUCACCGGGGACGAUAAUGACGGUACCCGGAGAAGAAGCCCCGGCUAACUUCGUG
rnacentral:rRNA from 1 species